GCCACCGCAAAGUCGGUGGAAGAAAAAGCGCUAGGAUGCGCGGUGCAGUGAGAGGCACCAUAGCAGCCAAGACUGAGCGCCUGGAAAGGGAAAAACAUCACUGUCUUUACUGAACUGAUUCAAAUCAAGAAAAAGCCUUGCAUUGCAUGUGGACUCAUCCAGGGAAUUACUGGAUUUGUUGAGGAAUGGCACAUUCCUUUGGGAAGGAAGGCUUCAAAGAGCACCCUCCACGUUCUGCCCUCUCUGGUGGCUGUAAAGGGCUGACCUUGAAGUGCACUGCCCCGACUAUGGCAUCUGCUGCUGCUGCUUGGCCUGCAAAGGACUAUGAGAUUCCCCGACUUGGAACCACUGGCAAAUUGGAAGACAGUCACAGUGGAGUUUUGGCAGGGUCAGAGACUGGGCUGCUUCUGCAGGCAGGACGGCAAUGACAGUCUGUGCUAAGGCCAUGGCAGAGUCACCUGCCACCCUUACCUGCUGUGUCUGGGUAGCAUGUGAGGGAAGCCUCCCUGCCUUUGGUUUUGAUCAUCCAGGUGUAGGUUCUCAGGCUCUCAGACAUCCACAUGUGGACCUGAAGAAAGAGCUGGUGUCUGGGAGCCAGAUUCCUGCUGCAUCUGGAGAAACUGAAUUAUGUGCCUAGCAUGGUCUCUUUGUAUUUCUCUUCAGUAGUUUCUUGACCCAAUAUCUCUGUGUUUGCUCUAUACAAUGAAUACAAAGUAAAUAAGAAUAGAAAAAUAA
rnacentral:sRNA from 1 species